rnacentral:rRNA from 1 species
UACGUAGGGGCUAGCGUUGUCCGGAAUUCAUUUGGGCGGUAAAGAGCGUGGUAGGCGGCCAGGUAGGUCUGCUGUGAAAACUCGAGGCUUAACCUCGAGAUGUCGGCGGAAACCAUCUGACUAGAGUCCGGAAGAGGAGAGUGGAAUCCUGUGUAGCGGUGAAAUGCGCAGAUAUCAGGAAGAACACCCGUGGCUAAGGCGGCGUCUCUAGUACGGU